rnacentral:tRNA from 2 species
GGCCGGUUGGCCCAAUGGCAAGGCGUCUGACUACGAAUCCUGCAAUGGACGAUGCAAUCAGGAGAUUCUGGGUUCGACCCCCAGGCUGGUCA